AUGAGAUUACAAAUCAGCGCGUUCCAUGUGGUUUAUUGGGGCCUCGGAGGGGAGCUGAAGAACAGAGCACUGAUUUGCAGAACUUUGCUGUCUACUCAAACCUAAUGGUUGCCCAGAGUCCUGUUGCAAAUCAGUGAUGAAAGCCAAGGUCAAGGUCAGACGCAGUCGAGGUGAUACACAUGGCCUUUCUUGAUGAAGCCCUGGUGGACUGGGAAAGGCAACAGGAUGAAGAAAGCAGAGACCACAGAGGGAAGAGGGGUUUCCGAAAGAAGAGAAAGGAAGUUCUCGGUGAACUUAUCUGAUAUGGUGUGGGAGCUGAGAGUGAAGUAGAGCCAGGUCUGAUGGACAUCUGACUGGCGCCACUGUGACAUCACAUUAGUUUACAAUCUGAGAUAAUUGGCACAUCUACUUGGCUGAAAAUAAACUGCUGAA